rnacentral:rRNA from 1 species
GACGAACGCUGGCGGCGUGCUUAACACAUGCAAGUCGAACGGAAAGGCCCUGCUUUUGUGGGGUGCUCGAGUGGCGAACGGGUGAGUAACACGUGAGUAACCUGCCCUUGUCUUUGGGAUAACUUCAGGAAACUGGGGCUAAUACCGGAUAGGAGCUCCUGCUGCAUGGUGGGGGUUGGAAAGUUUCGGCGGUUGGGGAUGGACUCGCGGCUUAUCAGCUUGUUGGUGGGGUAGUGGCUUACCAAGGCUUUGACGGGUAGCCGGCCUGAGAGGGUGACCGGCCACAUUGGGACUGAGAUACGGCCCAGACUCCUACGGGAGGCAGCAGUGGGGAAUAGUGCACAAUGGGCGGAAGCCUGAUGCAGCAACGCCGCGUGCGGGAUGACGGCCUUCGGGGUGUAAACCGCUUUCGCCUGUGACGAAGCGUGAGUGACGGUAAUGGGUAAAGAAGCACCGGCUAACUACGU